rnacentral:tRNA from 1 species
GGGCGAUUAGCUCAGUUGGUAGAGCAGCUGAUUCUUAAUCAGCGGGUCAGUGGUUCGAGUCCACUAUCGCCCA